rnacentral:rRNA from 1 species
CACGUAGGGCGCAAGCGUUGUCCGGAAUUAUUGGGCGUAAAGAGCUCGUAGGCGGUCUGUUGCGUCCGCUGUGAAAACUCGGGGCUUAACCCCGAGCCUGCAGUGGAUACGGGCAGACUAGAGGUAGGUAGGGGAGAAUGGAAUUCCCGGUGUAGCGGUGAAAUGCGCAGAUAUCGGGAGGAACACCGGUGGCGAAGGCGGCCAGCUGGGCCGUCCCUGACGCUGAGGCGCGAAGGCGUGGGGAGCGAACGGG